UUACCCUUCAUUAUGUUGAUAAUGGUUUUUUUAACACGUAAAAUCGAACUUUAAGCCCCUAAACUACUAAAAAAACGAUAAGCGACUUUUUAAAACAAAAGACAAAAAAUUGUAGGUCAUUAUCCUUUUAUUUUAUAUUGAUUGCACAUCACAAAAAUUAAAAGUUAAAAGUUAUAUUACAUAAGUAUAAAUUUAAAAUUUUUAUUAUGUUUAAACGGAUGAUCAUGUUCAAAUGAAGUUGGUAGUUUCGAAUGUAACAUCAUUACAUUUUCAAUUAAACGUGUUACAUAGUUUGGAGAGUUUAGUUACCUACAAACGAAACUCCUUAUUUCGGGUUGGGUUGGCGGGUCGAGAUCCAAUAUAAAACGGGCCGGUUCCGUCAGAUCACAGAUGGAGUCACGGAGAUUGGUUUCGAGCUAGAGUCGGUCAGUCGGAUACCCGGAUGACCCGUACCCGUUACCCAACCUUGCCGACUACAAAAUCAUUCAAUUUGAACAGAACCGAUAUCAACUCGUUUCCAAAUCGAUUUUGUUACCCCUACUCCAAGCCGAUAUUUGUAUCGUGUUUCUUGUUUCCUGGAAUCGCUGCUCAUCAUCUCGCAUAAGGUUAUGGCUGGAUUUGGGAAUUUGGCACCCAAGAGCAAGAAUCUGGUUGUGGCUGGAGGAUUGACUGGUUUUGUGUUUGGUGUGUAUUUCUACACCAUGAGAGCAGUUGGUGGAUCAGAUGAGCUUCAAGUUGCCAUUGAUAAGUAUGAAUCUGAAAAAGUCAAGCAUGGCCCCUAAGCAAAAUGAGUUGUGAAUAAAAUGAAAUGAAGCAUGGGUUUUAAAUAAAGAUGAAUUCUACCAGCACAGUUUUAUUUGUUAUAGUCGAAUAUUUUUAAUAAAGCAUACAUGCUUUGCAAUUUUUCGAUGCUGAACGUGUGUAAAAUGGUUUUUCGAUGUUAAGAGGUUAUUUCUUUUUGACUUAA